CUCUCAGACACACGAGGAAUAGUUUGUGAGAAACUGUAGCAUUCAAGAGAAAAGUAUUUCAGAUCGUUGGGGUUAGUGUUCAGAGGGGCUGCAGAGAUGGCUCAGUGGUUAAGGUCCUUACUGCUCUUAGAAGAUCAGGGUUUGAUUCCCAACACCCACAUUGUGGCUUACAAACUCCUGGCACUCCAGCUUUAGGGGAUUGGACCCUCUUCUGGCCUCCUCAAGCACCAGACAUGUAGUACACAGGCAUGCAGGAAGUCACACACAUAAAAUUAAAUUACAUUAAGAUAUUUUGGAAAGAAAAUUGAGUCCCAGAAGAUGGGAACUAGAUAGUGUCAGGAUGGGUAAGGGAGUUAGAUGCCACAGUCUUGAAUUUGAUCACCUAGGUAGGGCUUUUCCUCCCUAGUGUUGUCUAGAUAGAGGCUAGUACAGGCUCUAGUGCAGGUCUGAGGGAGAGCUAGAGAUGUGCACGUCUAUACAUACGUUAUACAUACAUUAUACAUACAUUGUGUGUCACAGCAGUAGCCCUAGAGAACCUCAGGACUCCAUUCUCUGCCUAGUGACUUGGGAGUGCUAGCUUUCUCUCCCAGGACCUCUCUGUUUAGGUGCCAACCUGACCUCUCUGACUAAAGAAGCAACCAGGAGUUGGUCUUAUCUGUUUACUCUCUGACUUGACACUCUUCAAUAAUAAAUAUUUUUAUUCUUUUAAAUAUA
rnacentral:lncRNA from 1 species